GACCAUCAAUGAUUUAUUUAUAGAGGCACCAGCCAUCCAUGUCCAUGUGCUGUUUUAGCCUAAUAUUAUAGGUAUGGAAACAUGGGUGGAAUGGCACAGAUUUGUUUGGGGUUUUUUUGCUCACUGUAAGUGUGUGGCCUUGAGCAGGGUCAACUUGAUCUGCUGACCUGUAGUGUCUGUGUGACCUGUGAAUGCUGUGUGGCCUGUGAUAUUCUUCAGAGAAGGAGAGAAGAGUUGUAAAGUUUGACAAGUUUGACGGUGUAGAAUUAGAAAUGUAUUUUGAAAUUUGUUCAUUUGAAAGAAAAAGACCUUCUUUUGUUGUUUCCCCAAUGACCGGAAACGGAACAUAGGCCUUCUGUCUAUCGUCGUAUGACGUUCUUUAAAGGUAUUAUUACCUGUAUUACCUGUACUGGGCAACAACGUCAUUGCACACCGGACAGGUCCGUAAGUGCUCAGUUCCCCCCAGCACCAAAGCCCGCAAGGUAUCCAUACUCUUCAAAGGUAUAUCAAGCUCGAGCAGUCCCAAGUAGAUCUAUUUUAUUGAUAUUUAAUUAAUUUAUUACUAUAAUUUUUUUUUCGUAAUGUUUAUUUUAAUGUUCAGACAAUAUCCAUGUUUUGUCCCAGGAAGCAAGACAUAAUAUUGUUUUGUGAAUGGAAAUGAAUAGACAGUUAGAGACAUAAUAGAUUGGCUUGCAUUCUUCAAGUUUGGAGGUCAGUUUUAAUUUUAAAUGCAAAAAAA